rnacentral:lncRNA from 1 species
GGACAAUAGUAUUCUAACAGUGUUUAGUUUAGCAACUAGUGAAAACGUCUCUUGGUAGUCUAUCCCAUAUGUCUGUGUAUACCCCUUCGGACUAGCCUUGCUUUGUACCGCUCAAUGGAUCCAUGUGCCUUGUGUUUGAUGGAAAAUACCCAUCUGCAUCUUACUGUCUUCUUUCCUUCAGGUAAUCGAACUAGUAUCCACGUGUUAUUCUUUACUAGUGCCUCCAUCUCAUCUUUUAUUGCCUGAAUCCAUUUGGAAUCUGACAAGGCAUCCUGAAUUCCUGUUGGAACAUGAUUAGAAGAGAGAACAUGUACAAAAGCUUUCAGUGGAUCAGAUAACUUCGUGGUGGAUACAUAGUUGGCAACUGGAUAUCUUAAUCUUCAUUUUUCAAUGUCUGGAGAGUAUCUGCUUAGCGAUUUGCCUCGAUUAUGCCUGAAAGGUAAAUUAUAGCCACCAGGAGUAUCUAAAUUGCUUAUAUGUGAAGGAGUGCUUACCUCAGAGAUAUUCUCCGGAGAUGGGCCUGUAGAUACUGAAGAGAAAGGGGGCUCUGGUUCGGUGCAGUUUGGUUCAGCUUCUACAGUUGGUUCCGGAUCUUGAGUCAUAUCAUUCCUUAAGUCAAUAUCUAUCGGAGCUGUCUCUAUCUCAGUAUUAUUUGACCACUCAAACUUCGACCAAUUCAACUCUUCAUCCCUUGUCUCUCCCUGAAGAGGAGAAUUGGAUGUUGGAGAAACAAAUGUGUCAGACUUCGAGAAGGUAACAUCCAUAGUUACAUAGGUCCGUUUGGAGGAUGGAUCAUAGCACCGAUAGCCCUUUUGAUGUGUAGCAUAUCCCACAAAAAGACAUAGGAGAGCACAUGGGUCAAGUUUUGUAACAAACCAAUGAACCCCAAACCUUGAAUCGUGGAACGUGAUAGAGCUGCUUUAAUAACCGCUUUGAUAACUGCACUUCUUGAUAACCACGACGCGUUAUGUUUGUUAAUACCUUGGGCGACUUGAAGGUUUGGGCGAGAAUAGAGUAACAGCUCUGGGCGACUGUAUGACACUCCAUUCGCUCAGAUUCUGGGCGACUUGCAAACUUGGGCGAUGGCGUUACCGCGUUCUUGGCCCUCCUUAUUUGGGCCUUCAUCUUGAUUUGUUCGAUUGGGCUUCGUUCUUUGGGCUAUCUGAUUUGGGGAUUCUCCAAUUGGGCUUCACUCCUUGGACUGUUCGAUUUGGGCUGAAUUUUUAUGUGUCAACAAUUACCCCCCAAUAUCGCAGAAUUAAUAAUAAUUAUUAAAUUUUGCCAUAUUCACUUUGUGUUUCCAGCAACAUUCGAAAUUCCCAAGAAUUUCAAUCAUUGUUUCUUUCUAUAACUUGAAAAGGUGCGUCGUUUUGCAAACCCUUAUAAACCCCAAACACGCCAUUUCACUGCCACCAAACCACGCCUCAUAUUUUUUACGUCUUCUUCACGAUUCACUGUUCAUCUUUUGCUUCCCUGCUACGUAAUCCUAAAAAGCUUCGUUCCUUCUCAAAUGGCUGCUUCACAAUCUCAAGCUAGCGAUUCCUUUAGUUUUGAUGACUUUCAGAGACUUCUGAGUCGCCCAUACAUAACCCCAAGUUUUCUCACGCCCGCCGACGUUGGACGUAAUGAGUUUUACUUGGGUCCUUUCUUCAACAAUGCGGAGGUAGUUGAACAGGCGGCGGUGGGUCAGCUGCUUCCUUGCACUCAUGGCCCUCCUUUUCUAAACUCUCUGCCACUGGGGCCACUUCGCGAAAGAGGUAUUCGCACUUGGCCUAAAUCUGAUGUUGCUUUUCGUAGGUGGCAUGCUCGCCUUCUGGGUCAUGGUCCUACCAAGGUACUUUUUGAUAGCGCUAGGAUUUCUGAUUUGUUGGAAAUCUCUAUCCUCCCCCGUACUUUUGAUUCAGCACUCUUUUCAAUUGCUUUGAGUUUUUGGUCUUCUGAGUAUAACACCUUUAUUUUCCCUCUUGGCCCCAUGUCUAUUACCUUAAGGGAUGUUGGGGCCCUGGUGAAUCUGCCACCUUUGGGCGAUACCAUUUUUCCUGGUAUCUUAGUCUUUGGUGGCGCCCCAAAGUUUGGUAGAAACUACACUGAUUCUUAUUCAAGCCUGCAGACCUUCCACAAUCAUUCGAGCGCUGAGCCUACCCAUACUAAACGAGUGGCCUUCCUUUUAGUUUGGCUUUGUAAAUAUAUUUUGUGCGUGCCAAGUAUAAAGCCCUCUCUGAGUUAUUUACCUAUAGCGCACGAAUCGGCGCGUGGCAGGCCUUUGAAUUUAUGUUCUUUGUUUUUGGCUGCCCUUUAUAGAGGCAUGGCCUCUCUUCAAGCUGAAUUGAAGAAUGGUGCAUCUCCACUGGCAAUGGACCUCUUUGGUUCACUCAAUUGUGGUUGAGAUCCUAUUUUCCAUCGCUUGGUGCUCCAUCCAUUUCUCGCCCUUUUGCUAGCUGUUAUGGGCUAGCCAUGGAGCCCUUAACUCUUGUAAAUAUGUCCAGAAGGGACAUUUUUUCAUUCUUUUAUUCUUUGGAUUCAAUCCCUUCCUUUUUUCCUUUUCCUCCUUUUUUGACUCCAAACUAUGUACAUCCCCCUUCCACUAUAGAUAACGCGAGCACCUCCCUACUCAUUUGGAUCCAAUUUUUAACCGAGAGGGAGCUAUUUCAUGAUAUUCUAAUUGGGACCAAUGCCAAAGCGGGGGUAGAGAUUUAUGCUCCCCAAAUUUUUGCUCGUCAGCUUGGUUUUGGCCAAACUUGGCCUGUUCCUCCUUGCUAUUCAAGGAACUUAGUUGACCGUUUUCAUACCAUUACUAAGGCGAGGGUAGAGGCUAUAGAUGCUCGUAAUCUUCUUUUAACCAGUCAUUUUUCAUUGGCCCCCUUCAAUUCUAGCCACGCCAUUCACCCUCUUUUUGAACAACUCUGGCCGUCGGUGAAUCGCAGAUUAUUUGCGACUGAUGCUAAUCGUGCCUUUCAUUCAUUAGACCAACCGAGCAUUUCUUUUCCUCCUCCUGUUUUAGUCACUCAUUUGUCUGUUCGGAGCCCCUCUCCUUCUCGUCGCACUAAACAGUCCGCUCGUCCAUCUUCUUCUCUCCCUGCCAAGCCUACUACGGCCAAGAGUGCUCCAAGCCGUAAACGGCCAGCCUCAGCAUCACCCAUUCUGGAGGAUGAUGUUGAUGAUGAUGCCCCUUUUAUCGUCAGGAGGAAGGUAAUUAAAUUGGUUUACUUACAAGU